rnacentral:lncRNA from 1 species
CCUUAUCUGUCGCGUCUUGCAAACCAUUCUAGAAUUGAAGGUCUUUGACCUAUUUUUCCAAUUUCCUUAUUGUGGCCCAAUAUUCAUUUUCUUUGGCUAACCAAUUCCAUUGUUCUUGUGACGCCUCAGUAACUUCCUGAAGAUGUGGUUUUUUUGUCGACCUUCCAAACUCCCCUUCCCUUUUAUACCAAGAAAGGUACCCCGAUG